rnacentral:misc_RNA from 1 species
ACUGUCAACAGCUCUGGACUCUG